AUCAGUUGAUUGGCGCGACGGCUAAGAUCAAUCCAACCAUCGCCGCCGGAGGUGCUGAACCGUCUAAUUUAUAUUUAAGUAAUCAAAAACUGCAAGUGCCUGUGGGUAUUCCUAUGGGAGUUAGGUCCCUUCCUCAUCUUAGACCACAUCAACAUCCGCAAUCACAACAAUAGAAGCAGAAGCAACCCUUUCGAAAAAGGCCUCACGUUGAUUCAGACACGUCGGAAUCGGAGUCGGAACCGGAGCUUUCGCCUAAUUCAACUGACAGUUUCCCGCCGGGAACUUUUCAGAGAAAGAGGCCAAGGAUUCAGAGGGAAUUGAUGAACUCAAGUGCAAUGAGGCAGGGGACACGUGGAGGAAGUGGAGAAGCUAGUGGAAAGGGCAAAAACUGGGGGAAUUCAGUGAGGGAGUUGACACGGGCGAUUCUGAAAUUUGGGGAAGCUUAUGAACAAGCAGAGAGCGCAAAGAUACAACAAAUGGUGGAGAUGGAGAAACAAAGGAUGAAGUUUGCUAAAGAACUGGAGUUGCAGAGAAUGCAGUUUUUUAUGAAUACACAAUUGGAGCUUUCGCAGCUGAAGCAACAUCGGAGGGUUGGGAAUAGCAACCACCGUAGCAACAAUCAUACCACCACCGCCAACAACCACAAUAAUAGUGAUAGCUCAUAGCAGUAUUUGAGGUCUAGUUAAUCGGACUCCCCAUGAUCGGAAUCCCCUUAAUCGGACUUUCCAUGAUCGGACUCCCAUGAUCGAGUAUCCAGGAUCGGACCCCACGAUCGAGGUCAGCCUGGUCAGAUCCGUAAGUUAUAAAAACAGGGGGCCUUCGUCCCAUUCGUCAUUUUUAACAACUUGGAGCUUGAGUAGAGGCGAUUUUUGAUAUAUCUUCAAGGAAAAACAUUGGGGUACGUUGAAGACGAAAUUGAGAGCAAAGUAGAGAUUUUGUGUGUAUUUUAUACGCAAUAAAUGAAGUAUGAUUAUUUAAUUAGUUGGUAUUUAAUUAUAAAAGAAGACAAAAGUGUAACAAUUGAGAAAGAAGACAAAAACGUGAAAAGAGAAUGUUAGGCAAAAGCAACAGAAUUGAUUGAAGCACCGAAGAAGUCAGUGACACGAGCCAUCUUGCUCACGACAGAGGUGGCAACGCGAGAUGCCAAGCGCGCUAGGCGAGGCCAGUCUGAGGCGAGGUGGACUGUGCAUUUUGCGUCGCGAGGCGAGGUCCGUAGCGAGCGGGCUCAGGUUUUUAAAAGCCUAUUUUGUCUCCUAUUUGGUUUUGGACUUUGUUAUUUCGUUUAGGUCUCUUCCCUACACAUAUAAAUAGUCAAAACAUACCAUCUUUAGGAGAGUUUUGCGACUGGAGGCAAGAACAUCACAUGGAAUCACUUUUGGAGGAGAAAAUCAUAGAGUUCUUCAUCCCUCUAUCUUU